rnacentral:rRNA from 1 species
UACGUAGGGACCGAGCGUUGUCCGGAAUCAUUGGGCGUAAAGAGCGUGUAGGCGGCCAAUUAAGUCCUGCGUGAAAUCUCGGGGCUCAACCCCGAGCGGUCGUGGGAAACUGGUUGGCUAGAGUGCGGGAGAGGAGAGUGGAAUUCCUGGUGUAGCGGUGAAAUGCGCAGAUAUCAGGAAGAACACCCGUGGCGAAGGCGGCUCUCUGGAACGCAACUGACGCUGAGACGCGAAAAGCGUGGGGAGCAAACAGG